rnacentral:misc_RNA from 1 species
GAUGAAGAACGUAGCGAAAUGCGAUAAGUAAUGUGAAUUGCAGAAUUCAGUGAAUCAUCGAAUCUUUGAACGCACAUUGCGCCCGCCAGUAUUCUGGCGGGCAUGUCUGUUCGAGCGUCAUUUCCACCAUCAGGCCCCCGGGCCUGUGUUGGGGACCUGCGGCUGCCCGCAGGCCCCGAAAUUCAGUGGCGGUCGCGCCGUAGCAACCGAGCGUAGUAACUAAAACGUCUCGCUCUGGCUCGCUGGGCGCGCUCCGGCCGUAAAACACCCCCCCUUUUCGCAAAGGUUGACCUCGGAUCAGGUAGGAAUACCCGCUGAACUUAAGCAUAUCAAUAAGCGGAGGA